GUCCCGGUAACGAGCGCAACCCUUGUCCUUAGUUACCAGCACGUUAUGGUGGGCACUCUAAGGAGGACUGCCGGUGACAAACCGGAGGAAGGUGGGGAUGACGUCAAGUCAUCAUGGCUCUUACGGCCUGGGCUACACACGUGCUACAAUGGUCGGUACAAAGGGUUGCCAAGCCGCGAGGUGGAGCUAAAUCCCAUAAAACCGAUCGUAGUCCGGAUCGCAGUCUGCAACUCGACUGCGUGAAGUCGGAAUCGCUAGUAAUCGUGAAUCAGAAUGUCACGGUGAAUACGUUCCCGGGCCUU
rnacentral:rRNA from 1 species